rnacentral:rRNA from 1 species
CGCUAGCGGCAGGCCUAACACAUGCAAGUCGAGGGGUAACGAUGGAGCUUGCUCCAGGCGACGACCGGCGCACGGGUGAGUAACGCGUUUGCAACCUACCUCUAACUGGAAGAUAGCCCGAAGAAAUUCGGAUUAAUAUUCCAUAACACUAUGAUUUGGCAUCUUUUUAUAGUUAAAGUUUCGACGGUUAGAGAUGGGCAUGCGUGACAUUAGCUAGUUGGUGAGGUAACGGCUCACCAAGGCCACGAUGUCUAGGGGGUCUGAGAGGAUGGUCCCCCACACUGGUACUGAGACACGGACCAGACUCCUACGGGAGGCAGCAGUGAGGAAUAUUGGUCAAUGGGCGAAAGCCUGAACCAGCCAUGCCGCGUGAAGGAUGACGGCCCUACGGGUUGUAAACUUCUUUUGUUUGAGAAGAAACCUCCCUACGUGUAGGGGGCUGACGGUAUCGAACGAAUAAGCAUCGGCUAACUCCGUGCCAGCAGCCGCGGUAAUACGGAGGAUGCAAGCGUUAUCCGGAUUUAUUGGGUUUAAAGGGUGCGUAGGCGGGCUUGUAAGUCAGUGGUGAAAUGCUGUGGCUUAACCAUAGAAUUGCCAUUGAAACUGCAAGUCUUGAGUACAGUUGAGGUGGGCGGAAUGAGUAAUGUAGCGGUGAAAUGCAUAGAUAUUACUCAGAACUCCGAUUGCGUAGGCAGCUUGCUAAACUGUAACUGACGCUGAUGCACGAAAGCGUGGGGAGCGAACAGGAUUAGAUACCCUGGUAGUCCACGCUGUAAACGGUGAGCACUGGUUGUUGGCAAUACACCGUCAGCGACUGAGCGAAAGUAUUAAGUGCUCCACCUGGGGAGUACGUCGGCAACGAUGAAACUCAAAGGAAUUGACGGGGGCCCGCACAAGCGGAGGAACAUGUGGUUUAAUUCGAUGAUACGCGAGGAACCUUACCUGGGCUUAAAUGUAGAGUGCAUUGCUUGGAAACAGGCAUUUUCUUCGGAACUCUUUACAAGGUGCUGCAUGGUUGUCGUCAGCUCGUGCCGUGAGGUGUCGGGUUAAGUCCCAUAACGAGCGCAACCCCUAUUGUUAGUUACCAGCACGUAAUGGUGGGGACUCUAGCAAGACUGCCGGUGUAAACCGUGAGGAAGGUGGGGAUGACGUCAAAUCAGCACGGCCCUUAUGUCCAGGGCUACACACGUGUUACAAUGGCAAGUACAAAGAGCAGCCACCUGGCGACAGGGCGCUAAUCUCAAAAGCUUGCCUCAGUUCGGAUCGAAGUCUGCAACUCGACUUCGUGAAGGUGGAUUCGCUAGUAAUCGCGCAUCAGCCAUGGCGCGGUGAUACGUUCCCGGGCCUUGUACACACCGCCCGUCAAGCCAUGGAAGCCGGGGGUACCUGAAGUCCGUAACC